GUGUGUGUGUGUGUGUGUGUGUGUGUGUUUGUGUCUGUCUGAGAUGCAAAGCGCAGAGUUUCAGACAAAGGUCUUUCUCAGCCUGUUUGCCAAAUGCAGCUAAUGUCUCAAAACGUAGGAAAAUGUGCCCUUUGGGAAAAUUGCUGUUUGACUUUUAUUAUUUCGCUGGUACUGGAUUUGCACAAUGGCUCUCAGUCAUGGCAGGCUAAUCACUGAGACGUGAUUGCUUUUUGGAGAACGACUCCUCAUUGUCGAGAGCGGCAACGAGCUGCAGGGGGACAAUCGGGACGGCGCCUUCAGUUACAGUCGAUGUGGAUGGAAAAUGCCACAGCCAAUGGUUGUUUGUUUGGAGAGACUCCCCAAUAACGCUGUGAGUCACGAGUGAAUCACUUCGCAAAGGGGAGAUGACUAUGCUCUGGUGAGGUGUAAAUACAUCCCCCUCCUCUUUCUCUGUGCGAGGAUAAAAGCUAACUGGAGUGGCAUGGGCUCCGACGAGGGCUCUGAUGACUUCAAAGAGAGGCGAGGGAUGUGAGAGGAGGGGACAGACGGACAGAGGUGGAUGGAUGCCCCUCGCUGACGAGCAGACAGGUGGAAAUUUAUACAUCGCAGAGCGAAGACUACGUGGACACGUGUGCGAUCCAGAUGAGUCGGACGUGGAUAGUCGGCAGAGGAGGCGCGGCGCUGUAAACCGGGAACACGCUGCGUGGUGAACACAGAUAAAUACAGACCAUCAAACUGGACUCAUUCUCCACUCCGGGCUGGGUGCUUCUGUAAUCGGGAAUUAAAUGACCGGAUGCAGGCGGGGCCUGAGUCAGCGUCAGUCUUAAUGCUCGGGCUUCCUUUAGGACCCUUAUGUAACGCUAACAGAGAGGACUAAAGAGCUGUGGCAGCCUUCACGGAGGGGAGAGCUGAGGGCCAGACGGGCCUAUGUCUCCGUGCUGUCCUCGCGGAGCAGCCCGAGAGACCAUCACCCGGCGAAGUCCGCCUCGGAAAAUGUUUAACCGUCGCCUCACUGACGGUGAAAUAUGUCAAGCUCGAUGGUUUGAUGUUCUGCACUUUGUUCACAUGCAGCUGGGAUUCUUGCUCACUGGCAGCGUUUGGUGCGUGCGCAGGAAGUACCUGUGUCCAUCUGAGUUCAAUCGCCAAAAUAAAGUCUGCGGCUUGAAGAUUA